rnacentral:rRNA from 1 species
AAUGAACGCUGGCGGCGUGCCUAACACAUGCAAGUCGGAUGUGCCGCAAGGUGCAUGGCAGACGGGUGAGUAACGCGUGGGGAACCUACCUUUUCGUGGGGAAUAACGAUCCGAAAGGAUUGGUAAUACCGCAUGAGACCGAUGGCUGGGAUGCUGUCGGUGAAAGCCGGGGAUCGAAAGACCUGGCGCGAGAAGAGGGUCCUGCGUCUGAUUAGCUAGUUGGUGGGGUAAUGGCCUACCAAGGCGACGAUCAGUAGCCGGCCUGAGAGGGUGAUCGGCCACACUGGAACUGAGACACGGUCCAGACUCCUACGGGAGGCGGCAGUGGGGAAUUUUGCGCAAUGGGCGAAAGCCUGACGCAGCAACGCCGCGUGGGUGAUGAAGGUCUUCGGAUUGUAAAACCCUGUCGUCGGGGACGAAGGUGGGGGCGUUAAUAGCGCCUUUGCUUGACGGUACCCGGAGAGGAAGCCCCGGCUAACUCUGUGCCAGCAGCCGCGGUAACAC